rnacentral:rRNA from 1 species
GGAUGCGAUCAUACCAGCACUAAAGCACCGGAUCCCAUCGGAACUCUGAAGUUAAGCGUGCUUGGGCGAGAGUAGUACUAGGAUGGGUGACCUCCUGGGAAGUCCUCGUGUUGCAUUCC